GACGCAGCCAAGAGCUUUCUAGAUACAUUUUCCGUCAAAAAGAAAAAAGUUUACUCCGUCAAAAACAAAACUGAUUUCUGCAAAAAACUUUUCUGCUGAGAGAAAACAAAAAGCAUGUGUGGUGGUGCUAUAAUCUCCGAUUACAUUGCCCCGAGCCGGACUUCUCGCCGGCUCACCGCCGAGUUGCUAUGGGGCCGGUCCGAUCUGAGUAAGAAGCAAAAAAAUCCUAACAAUUAUCACUCCAAGCCGUUGAGAUCCCAAGUAGUUGACCUUGACGAUGACUUCGAGGCUGAUUUUCAGGAUUUCAAAGAUUUCUCCGAUGAUGAGGCUGUUCAAGUCGAUGUCAAGCCAUUUGCCUUCUCUGCUUCGAAAAGCUCUACUGUUGAAGGCUCCAAAGCUGUGAAAACUGUUGAUUCAGACAAGGAUGCUGAUAGAUCGUCUAAGAGAAAGAGGAAGAAUCAGUAUAGGGGGAUCAGACAGCGACCUUGGGGUAAGUGGGCAGCUGAAAUACGUGACCCAAGAAAAGGGGUUCGGGUCUGGCUGGGAACUUUCAAUACUGCAGAAGAAGCUGCCAGAGCUUAUGAUGUUGAGGCAAGGAGGAUCAGAGGCAAUAAAGCUAAGGUAAACUUUCCCAAUGAAGCUCCAGUGCCUGCCUCAAGACGUACUGUUAAGCUGAAUCCUCAGAAGGUCCUUCCUAAGGAGAGCCUGGACUCGGUUCAGCCCGACCAGACUAUCAUAAACAACAUGGAGGAUGGCUGUUAUGAUUCUUUGGGAUUUCUUGAAGAGAAACCCAUGACAAAGCAGUAUGGAUAUGAGGAUGGGAGAAGUACUUCUGGAGAUACUGGAUUCGGCUCAUUUGCCCCUUCAGCUGGUACUGAUAUCUACUUCAACUCUGAUGUAGGAAGUAACUCUUUUGACUGCUCUGAUUUUUGUUGGGGAGAGCCAUGUGCCAGGACUCCAGAGAUAUCAUCCGUUCUGUCAGCUGCUAUUGAAAGCAAUGAAUCUCAACUUGUUGAAGACGAUGCCAGUCCAAUGAAAAAAGUGAAAUCAAGCCCCAUUAAUCCAGUUGCUGAUGAUGAAAAUACGGCGAACAAGCUAUCUGAAGAGCUUUCAGCUUUUGAAUCCCAGAUGAAGUUCCUUCAGAUCCCAUAUCUGGAGGGAAAUUGGGAUGCAUCAGUUGAUACUUUCCUCAACUCAAGUGCAACUCAGGAUGGUGAAAAUGCUAUGGACUUAUGGUCCUUUGAUGAUGUUCCUUCUUUAAUGGGAGGUGUCUUUUAAGUCAGCAUUCCUUCCUUGCCUAGUUUUUGUAAAUAAGGCUUCAUGAUUGUCUGGUGGUGGAAGAAGGAUGAUCCACAGACCAAGCAUGCUUAAGCCAUGGAUGUGCGCUCGAUAGUUGAUGAGACCUCGAUGCUUGCUAUAACCUACUUUUGGUGUUUACAAGUUGCUUCUUCACGUGGGACUAUUCUUUCAAUUCACUCAUUUGCAUAUGCCGACUAAAUAUUAUACUGCAAAUUGGCAGACCUGUUGGUGACAAUAAUGAGUGCAUUGGUGAAUCAGCGUUGGCAUUUUUCUAUUUAGAGGCGUCUCGUGGAACUCAAUUUUCGAGAUAUUCCUAAUUGUUUUGCCACCACUCAUUAAAAGUAUGAGAUUUUGCUUCAAUAAAUUCCAUGUUCUUUAGCAAGGAAA